rnacentral:rRNA from 1 species
WNAGGAGACUCUGAUGCGCGAUGCCGCGUGAGUGAAGAAGGCCUUUGGGUUGUAAAGCUCUUUCGUCGGGGAAGAAAAUGACUGUACCCGAAUAAGAAGGUCCGGCUAACUUCGUGCCAGCAGCCGCGGUAAUACGAAGGGACCUAGCGUAGUUCGGAAUUACUGGGCUUAAAGAGUUCGUAGGUGGUUAAAAUAGUUGGUUGUGAAAUCCCGGAGCUUAACUCCGGAACUGCAAUCAAAACUUUUUAGCUAGAGUAUGAUAGAGGAAAGCAGAAUUUCUAGUGUAGAGGUGAAAUUCGUAGAUAUUAGAAAGAAUACCAAUUGCGAAGGCAGCUUUCUGGAUCAUUACUGACGCUGAGGAACGAAAGCAUGGGUAGCGAAGAGGAUUAGAUACCCUCGUAGUCCAUGCCGUAAACGAUGUGUGUUAGACGUUGGAAAUUUAUUUUUCAGUGUCGCAGCGAAAGCAGUAAACACACCGCCUGGGGAGUACGACCGCAAGGUUAAAACUCAAAUGAAUUGACGGGGACCCGCACAAGUAGUGGAGCAUGUGGUUUAAUUCGAAGAUACGCGCAGAACCUUACCAACACUUGACAUGUUCGUCGCGACUCUAAGAGAUUAGAGUUUUCGGUUCGGCCGGACGAAACACAGGUGCUGCAUGGCUGUCGUCAGCUCGUGUCGUGAGAUGUUGGGUUAAGUCCCGCAACGAGCGCAACCCUCACUUUUAGUU